rnacentral:rRNA from 1 species
CAGCAGCCGCGGUAAUGCGUAGGUGGCAAGCGUUGUCCGGAAUUAUUGGGCGUAAAGGGCUCGCAGGCGGUUUCUUAAGUCUGAUGUGAAAGCCCCCGGCUCAACCGGGGAGGGUCAUUGGAAACUGGGAAACUUGAGUGCAGAAGAGGAGAGUGGAAUUCCACGUGUAGCGGUGAAAUGCGUAGAGAUGUGGAGGAACACCAGUGGCGAAGGCGACUCUCUGGUCUGUAACUGACGCUGAGGAGCGAAAGCGUGGGGGGCGAACAGGAUUAGAGACCCCCGUAGUCCCUGUCUCUUAUAA